AGAGUUUGAUCCUGGCUCAGGGAUGAACGCUGGCGGCGUAGCUUAACACAUGCAAGUCGAACGAAGCACUUGAGAUUGAAUCUUCGGAUGAGAACUCUUGUGACUGAGUGGCGGACGGGUGAGUAACGCGUGGGUAACCUACCUCAUACAGGGGGAUAACAGUUGGAAACGACCGCUAAUACCGCAUAACCCGCUAGUAUCGCAUGAUACGGACGGAAAAGAUUUAUCGGUAUGAGAUGGACCCGCGUCUGAUUAGCCAGUUGGCAGGGUAACGGCCUACCAAAGCAACGAUCAGUAGCCGGCCUGAGAGGGUGAACGGCCACAUUGGGACUGAGACACGGCCCAAACUCCUACGGGAGGCAGCAGUGGGGAAUAUUGCACAAUGGGGGAAACCCUGAUGCAGCGACGCCGCGUGAGUGAGGAAGUAUUUCGGUAUGUAAAGCUCUAUCAGCAGGGAAGAAAUGACGGUACCUGACUAAGAAGCCCCGGCUAACUACGUG
rnacentral:rRNA from 1 species